AUGUACCCACGUACAUUCCGGUUCCUCCGCGCCGUCCGCACCCACCUGACGACUGCUCGCUACGCUUUGUUAGCC
rnacentral:sRNA from 3 species